AUUGUGGGAGGGAGGCAGAAAGGAUGGAGCCCCAGGGCUUGGUCUCCAGCAAGGUGAAGAGGAACUCACUGUUCAGCACCAUGCCCAGGGUUGUUCCUAGGAUUUGCUGAGGCAAAAUCAAGAGAAAAAUAGAAGAUGACAUCAUGUUCCCGGUGCCCAGGAGCCCACUGGAAACAAUUGGAGGAAACAUCAGAGACAGGUCCUUGCAUGUAGUAGCAGCAACUGCCAAGAAAAUCCCCGGUCUCCGCUUUCCAUGGAAUUCAGACCAAUCUGUGGGAAGUUUGCUCACCUGUACCUCCAGGAGGCUUCUGGAAUCGUCCCCUCCACCCCUAUAACCAGACCCUGGUCCAAACUCCUGUCCCCCUGCUCUGGCUGUCACAGAAGGAACCUCCUAACUUGUAACUUGCCUCUUCUGUAGACCUUCCCCUUCCUUGGUUCAUUCCCUACUGAACAGCCAGAUCCUAGGUUAGCUCACAAUGUCCCCCUGUUUGAAACCUAACGGAUUCCCCUGGCUCUGGGAAUAAAAGCCAAGCUUCCUACCUGG